rnacentral:rRNA from 1 species
AUGCCAUGCCAGCUGCUAAUACAAAGUUUCUCAUGCUACAAGACUUUUCUGGGAGCAAAAAGUUGGGCUAUACAGUCUGCACUACUAUGCUUUGGAAAUAUAGCAUAUGACGAGCAGACGGGUAAAGAGGUUGAAGUUGGAUCUGCAGGGCAUGGUCCACUGGCCAAUUCUUCUUCUCUACCUGGAGUUGGUGUUCCAAAAACAUGCUCGAUUGUUAUAUGUAUCAAAUACAGUCUCUUCCAGUGGUGGACAUUAAUUUCUCUCCCUUUCUUGACCCUGCAUAUCUCUGAAGAAGUGCUAAGCUCCACUGAAUUUGGUCAUGUUGGGCACCACCGUCAUCAUACCAAGCAUGCUUGUUCCUCAAAUGGGAGGUGGAAAUGA